UGCAUCACAAAGUCCUGGCAGUUGCCAUGGAAGCCCCAUGCCCCUCUCCUGACAGCCUCCCACACGGUCAUCAGCUCACAGCCAGGUGCAGGUGGCUGCCCAGAACAGGACUGAAAGGCCAGCAGUGAGCACUGAGUGCACAAGAAUAAUUUUGAGCAAGAAGGACUUAAGAAGAUACUCUGCAAUCAGAAAAAAUGGCACCCAUUGACAUUCAUCGAUGCACGGUGAAGGUUAUGGAUACCAAACAGCAGAUGACAGCUGUUAGGAUUCCACUUUCAACAGAGAUGGAAGUUACAGCACAUUAGGAAGUUCUGCUCUACUACAAAGAAAGAAUAAAUAGAAAUUUAUUUUUCC